CUCCACGCAAACUGCGGGCUCAUUUCGAGCACCUAGGGCUGCUGACUCCUGCAGCGUAGUUCAGCGCUUUACGCAAAACCCUAGUGCGAUGGCAGGGACCUGUCCCGACCGAGUGGUCGCCUUACAUAUGGACUGAGGAUGCAGGCCCCUUCCACCUCCAUGUGGACGCUCCUGACCCUGAACACAACACGUCCACUCACCCCAGUAGCAGUCUACAGGGAGAGCCUGGGCACUGGGCGUCGAGGAGGAAGGGUAGAGUCGGGGUGUUCUGGGCUCCUCCGACUCCGCACAUAGCUGCCUUGGCCCAGAAGAGAGGAACAUCAUUACCAGGUCCAAAACCUGAGCCCAGAAUCCCGGGACUGGGCUCUGCUCUGAAGAAACUACCAGGCCGCUGCUCUGGUCCACUGAUGCCUCUGUCCGGAUCACUCCGAGCAGGCAUGGAAAUUUGAUAAAUUUGAAAGGAAAGGAAAAGAUGGAAGAGGCUGGAAAUUUUAUGUACAAAUAAACAGCCUUAAAAACACUCACUUGGCGUUCACUUCUGUAUCACUAGCUAUAGCUGGGCCAUACAUAACCUCCCUGCUUUACCAUGAACACGGCGUGGAGUCUGUUCCAGGGUUUGAACACAUCAAUACUGACAGGCAAGAGCAACCUGGGAC
ensembl:lncRNA